UACGAAGGGGGCUAGCGUUGUUCGGAUUUACUGGGCGAAAAGCGCACGUAGGCGGAUCGAUCAGUCAGGGGUGAAAUCCCAGGGCUCAACCCUGGAACUGCCUUUGAUACUGUCGAUCUGGAGUAUGGAAGAGGUGAGUGGAAUUCCGAGUGUAGAGGUGAAAUUCGUAGAUAUUCGGAGGAACACCAGUGGCGAAGGCGGCUCACUGGUCCAUUACUGACGCUGAGGUGCGAAAGCGUGGGGAGCAAACAGG
rnacentral:rRNA from 1 species